AGAAGGGCAGUCCGACCACCGAGAUUCACUUUUUAGGAAACCUCUGGUCUAGAGCCACAGCUUUUGACGACAGGGAGUGUUCACAGAAAUUUUGUUAUACAUACUUUCGGUCUAAGACCGCAGCCUGUAACAAUACGGGGUUCACAAAGGUAUCUCAGGUAUACGUUGGCGAGGAAAAACUACUCUGUAUUGACAAGGCUGUGUAUAGGGGCUUCUCAUAGUUCUUUAUCUGCUGCUGCUACCGCUGCCACCUCUUGUAUUUUGUCUCUGUUGUGGUGCUGCUCCAUUGUUGCUGUCAUAUUGAUUUGCUGUUGCUCUGUGUAGUAGUUCUCAUUAUGCUGUUAUGGUAGUGCUGCUUUGCUGCUGGUGGCAUAUUUGAUUCCUUUUAAAAAGGGAUCAGCUGUAAUUUAUCUUGCAGAGGGAGCUAGACAGAUUUACUUCAAAAGACUAAUGCUACGGAUGCAUGUAUUGAGGGACAUUAGUGGAUAUAUUCAACAAAAGGGAUUAAUGACUUUGGUCAACUAGGGGAUGGAACCGAUGAGUGAAGGAAAUAUCCAAUGAAAGUGAAGCCAUUAGAGUUAGAAUUUGUAAAAUCUGUGUCCUGUAUAAUUCUUAAUUCUCUGCUUAAAAAUUUAUUUUUGUUAAUAUUUGUAAAUUUCAUGUACACGACCGUUGCACGCAUAUAGAUGACAUUGUCGUAGGCUUUUACCAAGUUUUGAA